GGGGGGGGGGGGGGGGGGGGGGGGGCUCACCUAGUGCCUCAAUCGAGCAGCUGACCAGCAGGGAUUCUUCACUCCAGGACAUCAUAGUAGCUCGGAUUGGAAUCUUUUAUGUCUACCCACUUGCCCAUUCAUCUACAUCCUUGUACAAGGCUUCCCACUGUGGACACAGAACUGACGACAUCAGCUUUUCAGUAUGCUGAGUGCCUCAAUCGAGCAGCUGACCAGCAGGGAUUCUUCACUCCAGGACAUCAUAGUAGCUCGGAUUGGAAUCUUUUAUGUCUACCCACUUGCCCAUUCAUCUACAUCCUUGUACAAGGCUUCCCACUGUGGACACAGAACUGACGACAUCAGCUUUUCAGUAUGCUGAGUGCCUCAAUCGAGCAGCUGACCAGCAGGGAUUCUUCACUCCAGGACAUCAUAGUAGCUCGGAUUGGAAUCUUUUAUGUCUACCCACUUGCCCAUUCAUCUACAUCCUUGUACAAGGCUUCCCACUGUGGACACAGAACUGACGACAUCAGCUUUUCAGUAUGCUGCAAUCACUAUAUAGAAUAAGAGAUGAACUGCAUGUGUGCCAUAUAUUAAAAAAAACAUCAUCUGAUUGUUGUAAAAAGAAGUUUGUUAAUUAGUCAAAUCCAGUUGUAACAAAUCUCUCCUUCCAGAGGGGGUCAUUCAUGCAGUUUUCUUUAGGGUUGGUUGUGGCUUUAUUAAAAGAGUUUAGAGAUAAAUCAUGGAGGGACUAGCGAAUGAGCAACUGAACUAACAAAAUGAUUUGCAUGUCAAGAACUAAAAAUUGUUACCUCUUGACUGAUGAUGCAUCCCAUACGCUCAGGAGUGUGGCAUAGACCAUUGCAUGUGGUAUCUGCCAUGACAAGUGUCACCCUCCGAUCGAAAGUAAAAGAUCAACGUUGACCAAGCUGCAAGGGAAAGGACCUUUUCAAGUUAAUACUGGCCACAUGACUUGCUACAUGCAACAUUGAGAAGCAGUCAAAUAUUUGUACAUGCAACAUGCGAAGAAGUUGUGUUGGUACAGACCGUUUAUAUAUAGGCUACUUCUCAUAGUUGUUUGUGCAGUCGCCCUCUUUGCAGAAGAUCAUGGAUUCUCAGAUCUCCUACAUGGAUUUGAUGAAUGAUGGGUCAGCUGCAUAUGAGGCUGGUUAUGGUGGGAAUUACAGUAAUUUAGGUGUUGGAGGGGAUGGAGAUGGACGUGAGGACAACAACGACGAAGAAAGGGGUAGCAAGAGACUACCAUGAACCGAAGAGGAUAACAUACGAUUGAUUAGUGCUUGGUUAAACAAUUCCGUCGAUUCAAUCGAUGGAAAUGCAAAGAAAGGUGAAGUUUAUUGGAAAGAUGUAGGCAAAGAUUACAACAACAAUAGUCCUGCAGAUCGGAGGAGGAAGGCCAGCAACUGCAAAGACCAUUGGGGAAAGAUGAACCGCAGAAUUGUGUUGUUCAAUGGCAUAUGGUGUAGGCUCAAGGAAGUGUAUGUGAGUGGUCAAUCUGAUGACCAACUCAUGAAUAAAGCUCAUGACAUGUACAAGUCCGAGCAAAAGCAAUAUUUCACAUUUGGAAAUCUAUGGAGAGAGCUACAGCAACACCCAAAGUGGACAAGAAUAUAUGCAGAGGAGAAAACGGGCACAACUGAUGAUGAUGUAGUACACGAGAUUGAAGAAGAAACAAGGCCACCAGGGAGAAAUAUUGCAAAAGACAAAAUGAAUGGAAAAGGUAAAAGUUCAUCUGAAUUUUCUUCAGGUCUUUCUCAUGAUGACAUUCAAUUGUACCAUGAUACAAAUGUCCUACGAGCCUCCACGCAAGAUGUAACACCCCGGAUAUGAUUUACCCAAUAUGUAAUCCAACUCUUGCCGUUUCCGGCUUUAAGUUAUUUUAUUUUCUCGGGUU